UCGCAGGGACGACCCUGUUAUGUUAUUAAUUCAUUGAGGACGGCCUCG
rnacentral:ncRNA from 1 species